CCAUAGGUGAGCGUAUUUACACCAUGGGAAUUGACAAACCAUUCAUCUGAGUAUCUCUCCUAUCCCCCCCACCAGUCCCCAGGAAUGCAGUUUUUAAACAUUCAGCUGCACACCCAAUCAACCGUAACCCCUAAGCCUUGUUAAUUCAAUUCUUACUGGAUAAGGCAGUUGAGGGUGUGAGGAUCUCAUGGCUGAAACACCAAGAGUCACCCUGAAGCUCUGGAACCCGAGACACAGGCAUUAUCUCUAACUCUCCAGGCUUGAGUAAUUCUGGAACUGCUUCAACCUCCUGAAAUUCUUAGGUUCUGCCAAAAAGUCUCGACCACUAUGGAGUUUCUGAUUCAACUUUCCUCCCUGCAACAGUCUAAGUCACCUUGUGGUAGCAUUGCUCCCUAGCCUGAUUUUCUACUGUCAAGUGUUCAUGAGAUGCCACCUUGGAAGAAGGAACAGGAAGAGAAAUGCCAUCCUUUCCUCUGCUCAUUUGGUUUCCAGAAGAUGUGUGCAGAGAUUCCAAAUCCCACCCAUCCUGAGCCUGGGUCCUCCUAACACAGCAGCCACACAAGUGAAGCAUUGCCGGUGGGUCCACCUCCAUCUGCACGAAGGAAGCCCACCUUUGAAGAAGAAGCAUUCAUCAGCCCACCUUCGAAGAAGGAGUCUGUUCCCAGCCUCUGAAGAGAGAGACACAUGGAGACACAUGGAGCAGUCCAUGACCAUGGGAUUCUCCAGACCUCUGCAGACCUUUGUAGACCUUGUAGACCUUCGUAGACCUUUGGAGGCUACUAAACCCCCAGAUCUCUGCAGAACUUUGCAGAAACUUAGCCACUGCACCUGCCUCUGACACGGCCUGAAAAGAGCACUGUGGGGCUCGGCCCAGCAUCUCAAAGAGCUGACCCAGCCUCUGGGUCUCUGGCACGACCUCCUGGUGCUGUUGGGUUUGUCGUCGUCUGGUUCAGCCUCCGGCCCAGACUUGAGACUGCUGUUGCAUCAUCUCACCUUCCACGCACGGCCUUUGUUUGGGAGUUCUGGGCACUGUGCACAUUAUCUGGGGUGAGAUAUUUGGCCACUUGUGUCCUCAAAGAAUCUUUCCUCUUCCCAAUCUCUUGUUUGUUAAAUAAACCCCGUUGCUGGGCCCGGAGCCUGAGCGGUCUUGCAAUUGUGCCUGGGGGUGAGUGAUGUGAGCUCUACCUCAGGUGCUGCUCCUUCGUUCUUUUUGAACACUGAGUCCUGUUGAGCACUCUUUUAAGAGUCUUUUGCACUGUUCCAGAAGUAUUAUUACAUAUAAUGUUUGGCAUCUAGUAUAUACAUAACAUACAUAAUGUUAUAUAUAAAUGUUGGCAUUUAGUAUGUGUUUAAUAAAUGGUGGCUAUACUUACUUGAGGAUGUUAGAACUUGGGUUUUGGUUGGGCAGACCUAGGUAU